AUUGAACGCUGGCGGCAUGCCUUACACACGCAAGUCGAACGGCAGCGGGGGAGAAGCUUGCUUUUCCUGCCGGCGAGUGGCGAACGGGUGAGUAAUACAUCGGAACGUGCCCUGUAGUGGGGGAUAACUAGUCGAAAGAUUAGCUAAUACCGCAUACGACCUGAGGGUGAAAGUGGGGGACCGCAAGGCCUCAUGCUAUAGGAGCGGCCGAUGUCUGAUUAGCUAGUUGGUGGGGUAAAGGCCUACAAAGGCGACGAUCAGUAGCUGGUCUGAGAGGACGAUCUGCCACACUGGGACUGAGACACGGCCCAGACUCCUACGGGAGGCAGCAGUGGGGAAUUUUGGACAAUGGGCGAAAGCCUGAUCCAGCAAUGCCGCGUGUGUGAAGAAGGCCUUCGGGUUGUAAAGCACUUUUGUCCGGAAAGAAAUGGCUCUGGUUAAUACCUGGGGUCGAUGACGGUACCGGAAGAAUAAGGACCGGCUAACUACGUGCCAGCCGCCGCGGUAA
rnacentral:rRNA from 1 species